AAUACGGAGGGUGCAAGCGUUACUCGGAAUCACUGGGCGUAAAGGGCGCGUAGGCGGAUUAUCAAGUCUCUUGUGAAAUCUAAUGGCUUAACCAUUAAACUGCUUGGGAAACUGAUAGUCUAGAGUGAGGGAGAGGCAGAUGGAAUUGGUGGUGUAGGGGUAAAAUCCGUAGAUAUCACCAAGAAUACCCAUUGCGAAGGCGAUCUGCUGGAACUCAACUGACGCUAAGGCGCGAAAGCGUGGGGAGCAAACAGGAUUAGAUACCCUGGUAGUCCACGCCCUAAACGAUGUACACUAGUUGUUGGGGUGCUAGUCAUCUCAGUAAUGCAGCUAACGCAUUAAGUGUACCGCCUGGGGAGUACGGUCGCAAGAUUAAAACUCAAAGGAAUAGACGGGGACCCGCACAAGCGGUGGAGCAUGUGGUUUAAUUCGAGGAUACGCGAAGAACCUUACCUGGGCUUGAUAUCCUAAGAACCUUAUAGAGAUAUGAGGGUGCUAGCUUGCUAGAACUUAGAGACAGGUGCUGCACGGCUGUCGUCAGCUCGUGUCGUGAGAUGUUGGGUUAAGUCCCGCAACGAGCGCAACCCACGUAUUUAGUUGCUAACGGUUCGGCCGAGCACUCUAAAUAGACUGCCUUCGUAAGGAGGAGGAAGGUGUGGACGACGUCAAGUCAUCAUGGCCCUUAUGCCCAGGGCGACACACGUGCUACAAUGGCAUAUACAAUGAGACGCAAUACCGCGAGGUGGAGCAAAUCUAUAAAAUAUGUCCCAGUUCGGAUUGUUCUCUGCAACUCGAGAGCAUGAAGCCGGAAUCGCUAGUAAUCGUAG
rnacentral:rRNA from 1 species